GGGCGAUUAGCUCAGUUGGAGAGCACUCCCUUACGAGGGGGUCACUGGUUCAGCCGGUAUCGCCACCA
rnacentral:tRNA from 1 species